rnacentral:rRNA from 1 species
AUACGGAGGGGGCGAGCGUUGUCCGGAAUGAUUGGGCGUAAAGGGCGCGUAGGCGGCCCGGUAAGUCUGGAGUGAAAGUCCUGUUUUUAAGAUGGGAAUUGCUUUGGAUACUGUCGGGCUUGAGUGCAGGAGAGGUAAGUGGAAUUCCCGGUGUAGCGGUGAAAUGCGUAGAGAUUGGGAGGAAAACCAGUGGCGAAGGCGACUUACUGGACUGUAACUGACGCUGAGGCGCGAAAGUGUGGGGAGCAAACAGGAUUAGAUACCCUGGUAGUCCACACUGUAAACGAUGAAUGCUAGGUGUAGGGGGUAUCGACCCCUUCUGUGCCGCAGUCAACACAAUAAGCAUUCCGCCUGGGGAGUACGGCCGCAAGGUUGAAACUCAAAUGAAUUGGCGGGG